rnacentral:tRNA from 1 species
UCCCUGGUGGUUCAGACGGUAAAGCGUCUGCCUACAAGGCAGGAGACCCAGGUUCUAUCCCUGGGUGGGGCA